UACAGAGGGUGCAAGCGUUGUUCGGAAUUAUUGGGCGUAAAGGGCGCGUAGGCGGUGCGGUAAGUCUGCAGUGAAAUCUCUGGGCUCAACUCAGAGUCUGCUGUGGAAACUGCCGUGCUUGAGUGUGGGAGAGGUGAGUGGAAUUCCUGGUGUAGCGGUGAAAUGCGUAGAUAUCAGGAGGAACACCUGUGGCGAAAGCGGCUCACUGGACCACAACUGACGCUGAGGCGCGAAAGCUAGGGGAGCAAACAGG
rnacentral:rRNA from 1 species